GACGAACGCUGGCGGCGUGCCUAAUACAUGCAAGUCGAACGCAGUGGGGACGGGUGAGUAACACGUGGGUAACCUCCCAUCAGAGGGGACAACACUUGGAAACAGCUGCUAAACCGAUACCUAUGUAUGAACCCGCGGUGGAUUAGCUAGUUGGUGAGGUAACGGCUCACCAAGGCAACGAUGCAUAGCCGACCUGGAAGGGUGAUCGGCCAGACUGGGACUGAAACACGGCCCAGACUCCUACGGGAGGCAGCAGUAGGGAAUCUUCGGCAAUGGACGAAAUUCUGACCAAGCAACGCCGCGUAAGUGAAGAAGGUGUUCGGAUCGUAAAACUCUGUUGUUAGAGAAGCGGUAUCUAACCAGAAAGCCACGGCUAACUACGUGCCAGCAGCCGCGGUAAUAC
rnacentral:rRNA from 1 species